rnacentral:rRNA from 1 species
UACAGAGGCCUCGAGCGUUAGGCGGAAUCACUGGGCUUAAAGCGUGUGUAGGCGGAUUGGUAAGUACCUUGUGAAAUCCCAACAGCUUAACUGUGGAACUGCUCGGUAUACUGCUGAUCUUGAGCCACUCAGGGGCUACCGGAAACAAUGGUGGAGCGGUGAAAUGCGUAGAUAUCAUUUGGAACGCCAAUGGUGAAAACAGGUAGCUGGGGGUGUGCUGACGCUGAGACACGAAAAGCCAGGGGAGCAAAACGGGG